UACAGAGGGUGCAAGCGUUGUUCGGAAUUAUUGGGCGUAAAGCGCGUGUAGGCGGCUUUGCAAGUCGGGUGUGAAAGCCCUCGGCUCAACCGAGGAAGUGCGCCCGAAACUGCAGAGCUUGAGUACCGGAGAGGAUGGCGGAAUUCCCCAAGUAGAGGUGAAAUUCGUUGAUAUGGGGAGGAACACCGGUGGCGAAGGCGGCCAUCUGGACGGAUACUGACGCUGAGACGGCGAAAGCGUGGGUAGCAAACAGG
rnacentral:rRNA from 1 species